CGCGCGCAGUGUAUGAGCCUGAGAAUGAGACAGGGCCAGCGCGGGGUGCGUGAGAGUGUCACCGCGCAUGCGCGAUGUAAAAAUAGAAGAACCCGCUGAUGUGAUCUGUAUGAGAUCUGGUGCGAUGCAGCGUAGAUCAAGUGGAGCUUCAGUGAUUCUUUGCAACCUAGUGUGUGUGUAUGCAUGUAUGUGGAGAGAAGGUCAAAAGCCUGAACCAUGAAGAUGAUAGUGGAUGUCGUGUGGAUGGUGUGGGGCAUCGGGGCGUCUGUGUACGAUUACUUCCACACCAGCGCCAUGGAGGAGAGGAUCCACACCCUAGAGAAUAUCCUUAACAUCCACCAGUUCGUCAUCGUGUUCCUCACGGCGAGCCUCGUCCUUCUCAUCUCGUACAUCGUCUUUAAGAAGAAAUGACACACCAGAGCCCGGGCUGUGAGUUUCGGAGAACCAUGAGAUCGACACAGCAGUCCUCAGUGUGUGAGAACGACUGAUGCAUUGAAAGACGAUUAACUUUUUUUUUUUUUUGGUCAGAUUAUCUGACAGGUUUUGAAAGUUUACAAUAUUAACUGUUUUUUUAUAUAUAUAUCUAAACAAAUGUGUCAUUUCUAACACACGUUUCUACACAGACAGUUUCUCUUGUCAUGUCCUGUGGAAUUAUGAAUUAUGAAACAUAACUGUGAGCUCAUGUCUGCACUUUACACCCGAUCACCAGAAUUGUGAUUGUAAAUUUUUGUGAUUGUCAUUAUUGACAGAGUAAAAUGUAACCUACUGACGACAACUAAUCAAUAAUAUUAAACAGUAUGUUUAACAGACACUAAGCCUCUGGAGAUCUCAAGGAUUCCUCAGUGCUCAGUGCUCGCUGAAGUGAAGUGCUCUCACAUCACUAGCACUGCUCUAUUAUGAAUCAGGAAAUACAGAUUGUUGACAUGUGUCAGUACACUAGGCUUAUGUCAUACAUGUGACAUCCCAUGAUGCUUUGUAUGGAUAGAAGUCAGUGAGCACUGUACCAGCAUUUGGUAUUGAUGCAACACUAAUGAUUAUGUGAAUUUUGCAUCGAAUAUAAACUCUUAUAUUUGAUCUUUCAUUUGAAUAAAUACACAAACUCAAUAGACUUCA